AUGAGACCUGGGAAGAGAAGGAGGAGGGGGGGGGAGGGGGAGAAGGAGGAGGGGGAGGAAGAGAAAGAGGAGCUGGCUGAGGAUGGGGGACAACUGCCGGCCCCGGAGGAUGGCCUGGAGGAGGGACUGGUGAACCAGUCCCCCACCCGAGCGCUGCUGGGCUGGGACGAGCAGCAGAGGGAAAGGUGCGUGGUGCAACCGAGGGGCUCCAGAUCAGCCAAGCUCCCAGGGGUUCAGAAACUUGGCCUGCCCGAGCGCAUCGGCUCAGCCACGAGCCUGAGCAGUGCCGUCAUCAACAACCGGCUCCAGGAGCUGGUGAAGCUCUUCAAAGAGAGGACCGAGAAGGUGAAGGAGAAGCUGACCGACCCUGAUGUCACCUCGGACGACGAGAGCCCUACAGCAUCCCCUGCUAAGCCGGCACCCGCGGCAGCACCUGUGCCUCCCCCAGGAGGGGAGCCGGAGGGGGACAAGCUGGCAGGGGACGAGCACUACUGUGAGAUGCUGUGCUGUGUGUUCAAGCACCGGCCCUGGAUGGACCGUUUGAAAAACUACCGGUUCCCCAGCAGCAUCGACCCACUCACCAACCUGAUGUAUGUUCUGUGGCUGUUCUUCGUUGUGAUGGCCUGGAACUGGAACUGCUGGUUGAUCCCCGUCCGCUGGGCUUUUCCGUACCAGACACCAUCAAACAUCCACUGCUGGCUGGCUGUGGACUACCUCUGCGACCUCAUCUAUCUGCUGGACAUCCUUGUCUUUCAGACCCGGUUGCAGUUUGUCCAGGGGGGAGACAUAAUAACUGAUAAAAAGGCCAUGAAAGAGAACUACCUGCGAUCACAGCGCUUUAAGAUGGAUGUGGUGUGCCUCCUGCCCCUGGAUUUCUUCUACUUCAAAGUCGGUGUCAACCCGCUCCUGCGCUUUCCUCGCUGUCUGAAGUACAUGGCCUUCUUCGAGUUCAACAACCGCCUGGAGGCUAUCCUGAGCAAGGCGUACAUCUACAGAGUGAUUCGGACUACUGCCUAUUUACUGUACAGCUUGCAUGUGAACUCCUGCCUCUACUACUGGGCAUCAGCCUAUGAGGGACUGGGCUCUACCACCUGGGUCUACGAUGGGGAAGGAAACAGCUACAUCCGCUGCUACUACUGGGCAGUCAAAACCCUCAUCACCAUUGGGGGCCUGCCGGACCCCAAGACACUGUUUGAGAUCAUCUUCCAGCUGCUGAACUACUUCACGGGCGUCUUUGCUUUCUCCGUCAUGAUAGGGCAGAUGAGAGAUGUGGUUGGCGCGGCUACAGCAGGGCAAACUUACUAUCGGAGCUGCAUGGACAGUACCAUUAAAUACAUGAACUUCUACAAAAUUCCCAAAACUGUUCAGAACCGGGUGAAAACGUGGUAUGAGUACACGUGGCAUUCGCAAGGCAUGCUAGAUGAGUCAGAGUUGCUGGUGCAGCUGCCGGACAAGAUGAGGCUGGACAUUGCCAUCGACGUGAACUACAACAUCGUGAGCAAAGUGGCCCUCUUCCAGGGCUGCGACAGGCAGAUGAUCUUCGACAUGUUGAAGCGGCUCAGAUCAGUAGUCUACCUGCCUAAUGACUACGUGUGUAAGAAGGGAGAAAUCGGCCGUGAAAUGUACAUUAUCCAAGCGGGACAAGUGCAGGUGCUGGGAGGACCCGACGGCAAAACUGUGCUAGUGACUCUGAAAGCCGGAUCCGUGUUUGGAGAAAUAAGCUUGCUGGCGGCAGGAGGGGGGAAUCGCCGAACAGCAAACGUCGUAGCUCACGGCUUCGCUAACCUCUUCAUUUUGGAUAAGAAGGACUUGAAUGAGAUUUUGGUGCAUUAUCCAGAGUCUCAGAAGCUGCUGCGUAAGAAGGCCAAGAAAAUGCUGAAAAACAACAAUAAACCCAAAGAUGAAAAAGGAGCCCCUGGAGACUCCCUGAUCAUCCCUCCGAAAGCUGACACCCCAAAGCUCUUCCAGGCUGCCCUGGCCGCCACGGGGAGGAUGGGGGGCAAGGGGCCACUGGCCCAACUCCGGUGGAGGCUGAAGGAGCUGAAGGCGAUGCAGGCAAUGCAGGUCAGUGCAGGGAGGAUGGCAAUUUGGCUUUGCUUCAUUAGAUGCAGAGUUGCAGGUCUUCCCAAUCAUUUAGUCACCAUUCGUGUGAUUCCCACGGCACAAGAGGAUGAAGAAAUCCUUGCUGCUGAGAUUUCAGAGAAAGAAGACGAAAAAGAAGAGAAAUGA
rnacentral:lncRNA from 1 species